ACGUAGGGGGCAAGCGUUGUCCGGAAUCAUUGGGCGUAAAGAGCGUGUAGGCGGCUUCGUAAGUCCGUUGUGAAAGUCCAGGGCUCAACCCUGGAAUGCCGAUGGAUACUGCGGAGCUAGAGUACGGAAGAGGCGAGUGGAAUUCCUGGUGUAGCGGUGAAAUGCGCAGAUAUCAGGAGGAACACCUAUGGCGAAGGCAGCUCGCUGGGACGUUACUGACGCUGAGACGCGAAAGCGUGGGGAGCAAACAGGAUUAGAUACCCUGGUAGUCCACGCCGUAAACGAUGGGCACUAGGUGUGGGGGGUGUCGACUCCCUCCGUGCCGAAGCUAACGCAUUAAGUGCCCCGCCUGGGGAGUACGGCCGCAAGGCUA
rnacentral:rRNA from 1 species